UAGCGAUAGGAUCUUCGUUAGAUUCGAC
rnacentral:sRNA from 1 species